rnacentral:lncRNA from 1 species
UGAAAAGUAAAAAAAAUUGGAAAAGACUGACUGAAAAUGAGAGAAGAGACAAGGCAGUGUUAAACAGGGCUAGGGCUGAACUGGAUAGAGUUGUCAUUAAAAAUUUUAUAUAUAUAUCACACACACACACACACACACACACACACACACAUAUAUAUUUUGCCUGCAUGAUUGAUGUCUUUGACCAUUUCAGCUAUUAUGUCAGCAAGGGAAAUCAGUUAAAACAGUUGUUGUAUAUAACAGCUUGAACAUUAAGAAAUGCAGGUUUCCCUUUAAGUCGAUAACAGCUUCUUCUGGAUUGGUGGUGGGGAUAAUGGAGUAGCCAAUCAGAACAGAUCCAGGCUGGCAAGAAACCAAUGGAAGGUAGGCUUGGAAACUGCUUUGCCCCUUGUGUUAGUUGGCAGUGCUGUCCUUGGCAAACAGAUGCAGAGCUGAGCUUUGUUCUGAGAUUUUGAGAGCCUUCACCUUGAUUUCAACUCAGAAGCAGCUUAGGUUUGGAAGAACCAUCUCUUGGUAGUUUGGAGAACUUGAUUUAAAGCAGGUUAGUCUGAAGUGGUAAAGGUGUCAGUAAUAAUAGAUGUGAAUCCAUCAAGUUAUGGAAAAACAAUGGAAAAAAAUGAAUACUUCCUUUUGGUCACAAGGAGACAGUUCCAAAUCUGAUUUACUUUGCGGAAAUCCACCUGAUUACCUUGUAACAAAGCAAAAUUUCCCACUGCUCAUAUGUGCCAUUAGUGUUUUGGGAGGUAUUUUGAAGGUGCUUUUAAAGAAUCAUGACUUCAUUGUCUUGACAAUUCUUUCUCUAUUAGGAUUUGUGUUAGGACAACUGGCCUACUAUUUUGUUGAGGUGCGUGAACUUAUUUACCCUCUUCUAAGAACACCAAGCUUUUCACUUUAUUGUUAUUUUAUACCUUUAAUUACAUUUAUGGUUUCAUUGGAAUUGGACUUUUAUAUACUGAAGAAUGUAUUUUGGCAGGUAAGAACACGUUUUAAAACAAAUUACUGUCAUUGCUUGCUUAUACAUGUUGAUAGAAAAUAUAACUAUAUAAAAAUUAAUCAUUCAUAAAUCUCACGUUUUUAGUUGUUUUAUGCUCUUGGUUUUGAAGAAUCACUAAUUAAAGAGAGUCGAGGAGAAGGAGAAGGAACUAAUAUUUGUUGAGGCACCACUGUGACGAGACACUGAGUAAAAAUCAUCCCCAUUUUUUUUCUUGAAGUUUUAUGGUCAGUUUAUUAAGUUCACUGGUGAAAGUUAUCAGAAGAAUAUUCUCCUGAGAGUUAUUUUUUCUUAGAAAAAAAAGAAAGGAAAAUUAAAAGCCUCUCAGCACAGCCACAG